UUAGCUGAAACCAAAAUUUAAGAGGUACCUUAUUGUUAAUAAGAUAAUUGAAUAUAGAUUCCAGCUAAU
rnacentral:tRNA from 1 species